UUGUAUGAGCUUCUGCAGGUCCCUUUCAGCGUUGAAGAUCCAGAUUACCAGGGGCUUGAGCUGGAUCUGAUUUCCCCAUGUGAGAAGCACGACAUGGCAUCUGAGAGGCUUGUUGCCUUUGAAGGAACAGACACAGGCAGGAGGUUUUUAGCAUGUGCACAGCCGGAAGGGGAGAAUUGUGGGUUUGUUGAAUGGGUUGAUCAUCAGUGGCCCCCAACAAUGCAGAAUGCAUUGUUGAAGCUGUGGGCAAUGGUUGAAGAUAGCAAGAGUGCUAGGAUGAAUGAUAAUCUUGAAAGUGCUUUAACUAUUCACCAUCUGACAGAAGAGAAGAACAACCCGGAGGCCAACUAUGACAAGUUAGUCCAAGAUGUGCAUGAGCUUAUGAACUUCUAGGAGGAGAGGGUGGUGGAUUUCAGAUAUCUGCAGUCUAACAUUACAUAUCAGUAGCAAUGCAGAAGUGAACUGGUGGCUGAUAUGAAGGCAGAGAUGGCAAAGAAAGAUGCAGAGUCGAAGAAGCUUAAUCAGAAGUAUCAACUGCUGGUGAACCUGACAGGAGCUCAAGCACUACAGGAAUCAGCUACUUUGCCGUCUGCCAUGGCAGACGGCAAAGGCAAGGAUGGUGGACGGCAAAAGGCUCCGGCAAAGUAG
rnacentral:rRNA from 1 species